rfam:Bacillus litoralis strain C44 Scaffold33, whole genome shotgun sequence.
UCUGUGGUGACGCAGAAUCUGAAGGAAGCGAGCGGCAAACCUCCGGUCU